rnacentral:rRNA from 1 species
AGUGAACGCUGGCGGUAGGCCUAACACAUGCAAGUCGAACGGCAGCACAGUAAGAGCUUGCUCUUACGGGUGGCGAGUGGCGGACGGGUGAGGAAUACAUCGGAAUCUACUUUUUCGUGGGGGAUAACGUAGGGAAACUUACGCUAAUACCGCAUACGACCUACGGGUGAAAGCAGGGGAUCUUCGGACCUUGCGCGAUUGAAUGAGCCGAUGUCGGAUUAGCUAGUUGGCAGGGUAAAGGCCCACCAAGGCGACGAUCCGUAGCUGGUCUGAGAGGAUGAUCAGCCACACUGGAACUGAGACACGGUCCAGACUCCUACGGGAGGCAGCAGUGGGGAAUAUUGGACAAUGGGCGCAAGCCUGAUCCAGCCAUACCGCGUGGGUGAAGAAGGCCUUCGGGUUGUAAAGCCCUUUUGUUGGGAAAGAAAAGCAGCGGGUUAAUACCCCGCUGUUCUGACGGUACCCAAAGAAUAAGCACCGGCUAACUUCGUG